rnacentral:rRNA from 1 species
UUGCAUAACCAAUUUUUGUUAUUAGAAAAAUUUUUUUCUAAUAUCUUUUAAGUAAGAAAAACAUAAUUGAGUAAUUUUUAUAGUUUUUAAAAGUUCGGUUACA